AGCGAACGUUUGCGGCGGGCUUAACACAUGCAAGUCGAACGGGCUGUUCCUUCGGGGGCAGUCAGUGGCGCACGGGUGCGUAACACGUAGGUAAUCAACCCUCUGGUUGGGGAUAACACUUCGAAAGGAGUGCUAAUACCCGGUAUGGCGCAGCGGUCUUCGGAUCGCGGCGAGAAAGACCCGCAAGGGUUGCCAGAGGACGAGCCUGCGGCCCAUCAGCUAGUUGGCGAGGUAACGGCUCACCAAGGCGAAGACGGGUAGCUGGUCUGAGAGGAUGAUCAGCCACACUGGAACUGAGACACGGCCCAGACUCCUACGGGAGGCAGCAGUGGGGAAUAUUGGACAAUGGGGGAAACCCUGAUCCAGCAAUGCCGCGUGCGUGAAGAAGGCCUUAGGGUUGUAAAGCGCUUUCACCUGUGAUGAUGAUGACAGUAGCAGGAGAAGAAGCCCCGGCUAACUCCGUGCCAGCAGCCGCGGUAAUGUCUAG
rnacentral:rRNA from 1 species